CCUACGGGUGGCUGCAGUAGGGAAUAUUGCACAAUGGAGGAAACUCUGAUGCAGCGACGCCGCGUGAGCGAUGAAGGCCUUCGGGUCGUAAAGCUCUGUUGCAAGGGAAAAACAAAAUGAUUGUACCUUGCGAGGAAGGAUCGGCUAACUUCGUGCCAGCAGCCGCGGUAAGACGAGGGAUCCUAGCGUUGUUCGGAAUCAUUGGGCGUAAAGCGGGUGUAGGUGGCUUUGUAAGUCAGACGUGAAAGCCCAGGGCUUAACCCUGGAAGUGCGUUUGAUACUGCGAAGCUUGAGUGCUGGAGAGGCUAUUAGAAUUCCAGGUGUAGUGGUGAAAUACGUAGAUAUCUGGAGGAAUACCGGAGGCGAAGGCGGAUAGCUGGCCAGACACUGACACUCAGACCCGAAAGCGUGGGGAUCAAACAGGAUUAGAUACCCUUGUAGUC
rnacentral:rRNA from 1 species